rnacentral:rRNA from 3 species
AAAUUGAAGAGUUUGAUCAUGGCUCAGAUUGAACGCUGGCGGCAGGCCUAACACAUGCAAGUCGAGCGGCAGCGGGAAAGUAGCUUGCUACUUUUGCCGGCGAGCGGCGGACGGGUGAGUAAUGCCUGGGAAAU